UACGUAGGGUGCGAGCGUUAAUCGGAAUUACUGGGCGUAAAGCGUGCGCAGGCGGUUUGUUAAGUCUGAUGUGAAAGCCCCGGGCUCGACCUGGGAACUGCAUUGGAAACUGGCAAGCUCGAGUAUGGCAGAGGGGGGUGGAAUUCCGCGUGUAGCAGUGAAAUGCGUAGAGAUGCGGAGGAACACCGAUGGCGAAGGCAGCCCCCUGGGCCAAUACUGACGCUCAGGCACGAAAGCGUGGGGAGCAAACAGG
rnacentral:rRNA from 1 species